GGAGAUUUAGCUCAGUGGCACAGUGCCUGCCUGGUAAGCACGAGGUCCUGAGUUCGAUCCCUGGUACCCCCC
rfam:Heterocephalus glaber contig151269, whole genome shotgun sequence.